CUACGGGAGGCUGCAGUGAGGAAUAUUGCACAAUGGGGGGAACCCUGAUGCAGCAACGCCGCGUGGAGGAUGACGCAUUUCGGUGUGUAAACUCCUUUUAUAUGUCAAGAAAAUGACGGUAGCAUAUGAAUAAGCACCGGCUAACUCCGUGCCAGCAGCCGCGGUAAGUACGGAGGGUGCAAGCGUUACUCGGAAUCACUGGGCGUAAAGGACGCGUAGGCGGGUUGGAAAGUCAGGUGUGAAAUCCUACAGCUUAACUGUAGAACUGCACUUGAAACUUCUAAUCUAGAGUAUGGGAGGGGGAGAUGGAAUUAGUGGUGUAGGGGUAAAAUCCGUAGAUAUCACUAGGAAUACCUAAAGCGAAGGCGAUCUCCUGGAACAUUACUGACGCUAAGGCGUGAAAGCGUGGGGAGCAAACAGGAUUAGAUACCCUAGUAGUC
rnacentral:rRNA from 1 species